rnacentral:rRNA from 1 species
GACGAACGCUGGCGGCGUGCCUAACACAUGCAAGUCGAGCGGAGCUAGUAGCAAUAUUAGCUUAGCGGCGGACGGGUGAGUAACGCGUGGGCAACCUGCCUUCUACAGGGGGAUAACACAGGGAAACUUGUGCUAAUACCGCAUAACAUACUUAAGGGACAUCCCUUGGGUAUCAAAGGAGCAAUCCGGUAGAAGAUGGGCCCGCGUCCGAUUAGCUAGUUGGAGGUGUAACGGACCACCAAGGCGACGAUCGGUAGCCGAACUGAGAGGUUGAUCGGCCACAUUGGGACUGAGACACGGCCCAGACUCCUACGGGAGGCAGCAGUGGGGAAUAUUGCGCAAUGGGGGAAACCCUGACGCAGCAACGCCGCGUGAAGGAUGAAGGUCUUCGGAUUGUAAACUUCUUUAGUCGGGGACGAAGAAAUGACGGUACCCGAAGAAUAAGCCACGGCUAACUACGUGCCAGCCGCCGCGGUAA